GAGGCAUCUGACGAAGGACAUGCAAGACCUCCUCCUUAUUAUACGAGAAAGCGUAAGGUUCAAAAAAGGUGAAAGGUACAGUUGGGACAUUAGCUGGAGGUAGAUAUUCAUGUGUUUGUGAAUGAUACAAUUCUUGUUGCUGUUAUCUUCGAGUAGCUACAAACUUGUUGCAUCAAUGAUUCUUUGUUGACAAUAUUCUUCUUGUUUCCUCAGCUCUUAUAUUUAUUUAUAGUUUCUCCAUUUC